rfam:Acetobacter orientalis 21F-2 DNA, contig: Abor_022.
GCAAUGGUUCGCUAGGGUUCCGGUCUGUUUAUGCAGAUGUCUGGUCCGAGAGCGAACGACCUCUGGUUGAGGUUACACGGCGGGACAAAAGCCCGGGAGAC